rnacentral:rRNA from 1 species
UACGGAGGGUGCAAGCGUUAAUCGGAAUUACUGGGCGUAAAGCGCGCGUAGGCGGUUUGUUAAGUCGGAUGUGAAAGCCCCGGGCUCAACCUGGGAACUGCAUACGGUACUGGCAAGCUAGAGUGCAAUAGAGGGGAGUAGAAUUCCAGGUGUAGCGGUGAAAUGCGUAGAUAUCUGGAGGAAUACCGGUGGCGAAGGCGGCCCCCUGGAUUGACACUGACGCUGAGGUGCGAAAGCGUGGGUAGCAAACAGG